rnacentral:rRNA from 1 species
UUGAAAUAAAAAAUUUAUUGAUUUUUAAAUUUUAUUAAAUUUUUAAUAAAAAUAAUUUUAUAUUUAGGGUUUUAGUAUAGUUUAUAGAAAUAAUUAUUUUAAUAAUAGGGUAAUAGUAUUGUGAAAGAAAAUUGAAAUAAUUUGAAAAACAAAUUAUAGGAAAGAAAUAUUAAUUUUGUGUACCUUUUGUAUCAGGGUUUAUUAAUUAAAUUUUAUUAAUAAAUAAAUUUCUCGAAUUUAAAAGAUUUAAUAAAUUAUUAAAGUUAAUGUUGAAAAAUUAUUUUAAAUAGUUUAUUAGGAAUGAAAUGUUAAUCGUUUUUAAAUAUAUCUAGUUUUUUAAGAAAUAAAUUUAAUUUACAUAUUUUAAAUAUAAUUUUUUAUUUAGUUAAAAAGAUUAUUUUUUGGUAUGAAUAUAUUAAGGGAUAAGCUUUAAUUUAAUUUCUAUAAUAAGUUGAGUUAGUGUUAUAAAUAUAGGGUUAGAAAUAUCUAUUAUUAAUAAAUUUGUUUUAAUUUAUAUAUGGAUUAUAUAAUUUACUUUUAUUUAGAUUUUUUAUUAAAAUAAUUAUUUUAAUUAGGAUAAUAAUGAAAUAAUGAUAAAAUUAGUAUAAAAGUUUGUAAAAAAUUAAUUUUUAAAAAGAUUAAAUUAAGGAAUUCAGCAAAUUAAUACUCACCUGUUUAACAAAAACAUGUCUUUUUGAUUAUAAUUUAAAGUCUAACCUGCCCACUGAAAUUUUUGAAGGGCCGCGGUAUUUUGACUGUGCAAAGGUAGCAUAAUCAUUAGUCUUUUAAUUGAAGGCUUGUAUGAAUGGUUGGAUGAGGUAUUAACUGUCUCAAUUUAAUAAAUAAUAGAAUUUUAUUUUUAAGUUAAAAAGCUUAAAUGAAGUUAAAAGACGAGAAGACCCUAUAGAUCUUUAUAAUUAAUUUUAUUAUAAUUUUUUAGAUGAAAUUUAUUUUUAUAAAAUUAAUUAUUUUAUUGGGGUGAUGAAAAAAUUUAAAAAACUUUUUUUGUAUAUAAACAAUUAUAUUUGGUUAAUUGAUCCAUUUUUUGUGAUUAUAAGAUUAAGUUACCUUAGGGAUAACAGCGUAAUUUUUUUGGAGAGUUCUUAUCGAUAAAAAAGAUUGCGACCUCGAUGUUGAAUUAAAGGUUAAUUUUAGGUGUAGAAGUUUAAAAUUUUGGUCUGUUCGACCAUUAAAUCUUUACAUGAUUUGAGUUCAAACCGGUGUGAGCCAGGUUGGUUUCUAUCUUUAAUUAAAUAAAAUAUUUUAGUACGAAAGGACCAAAUAUUUAAAAUAUUUUUUAAAAGUGAAUAAUAUUAAU